GCCCUGCUCAAAGUUGUUACUUUGAGAAAAGUUCUCAUUGAGUUGACCAGGCAAGCCUUGAGAUUGUGAUCCUCUCCUGCCUCAGAUUUUUGAGUAGCUGGGCUUUGAUGCUUGGGCCACUAAACCCAGCUAGACUUUCUUGAGAAUAAAGUUUCAGACAGAGUUUUUGUUUGUUUGUUUGUUUUUGUUUUUGUUUUUUUUAUCUUAGGGGCCCCGCUGCCAUUGUAAAAAGAAGCAUUUCCUAUUUGUGCAGAUAAUGCCAACUGCCUCUAGAGGACAGAUUUCCUGGAAUUUAAGUCAGGCAGAUCAGCGGGAUUUUCAUAAAUGAAGCUCUGGGGUUAAAAUAUGAGUGAACACUGCCUCUGUCCUGAAGGUGAUACAGUUUACUGGGGAGCUCUUCUAACUCAGGAAACCUAACUCUGAAACACUGUCCUAUACAUAGUAGGAGCUCAAUCAAUAUCUGAUAAAAAAAAAAGGACAAAUAAUAAUAAUGGCCAUGAUAUGUUGAAUAUCUGCUCUAGGUCAACAUUGACCUAAGUUCUUUAGGUCCAUCGUCUCUAUUAAUGUGUGCUUGAGACCAGUUGGGAAGACAUUUUUCUGGUAAGGAUGAGGACCUUGAAGCCCAGGGCUGUGACUGUCCCUUGGGAUGAGGACCAGAGUCAGUGGUCAGUCUAUAGAGUCAGCUCAGGUACUGGGACACCAUCUAUUUUAUUAUUUCAUUUGAUUCUUUUUCAAGACUGUUUCUCACUAUAGAUAGCUCAGGCUAGCCUUAGGCUUGUUAUUUAACCCAGUCCAUCCUUGAACCCUCAAUCUUCCUACAUGAUUAGUCUCCUGAGUGCUUGAGAUUACAGGCAGAGCCACCAAGCUCAACUGUGAGGCACUGUAAUUAAGGUAUUAGAUUGGGCAGGAAGAGAGAGAGAGAGAGAGAGAGAGAGAGAGAGAGAGAGAGAGAGAGAGAGAGAGUGUUUGGGGUGGGGGUAGGUAGCAAAGACAGACUGAUAACACUGAGUGACAUGGGUUGUAUUGUAUUUAACAUUCCCAUGGGCUGCUCAGGUAGAAAUGUCCAGUAGUAGAUAGAAAUAUGGAUCGGAAGCUCGGGUCCUAGAUUGAGCCAAAUCAGGGUCUAUUUUUAGUUGAUGCUGUUGGAGAGUGCUUCAUGAAUCUCUCUGAUUACAGUCUAGAGAAAUGCCCAUAAUUAAAGGGCAAGCAAAGGCAGGAAAAGGCUGAUGGAGAUGCUGGAGAAAACAAAGAGGAGAUGAACUCCCAACCUCUUCUGCAUAGUUUCGCCCCACACAAGAUAACCUGUAACUGCAGCUUGUUCUAACACUGGACUCUGCUCAGUGCUGAGGCAGAAUAUUCCAGACACCAAAUAACCUAAUGAGAACUGAUGUUCAAAUUCAAUCCCAAACCCUCUUGGUUUGAUCUCCACAAACACUGUGAUAUGUUAAUAAACAGGCCUGUGAAAAUGGGCCAGCCACUAACGGGCUUCAUAAAAUUCUCCUAUCUGUGGACCACCCUUGGACACUCUGAUUCAAGAGGUCUGGAGGGCCUAGGGCUCUGUGCUUCUGUAGUCUCCUAGGUCAUUCAGGUGGCUCUGAGUUUUCUUUAGGAAACAAGACAGUGCGACAAUGACUGCUCCGAUAAUCAGCAAGGACACAGUAACUGGCCUCACUACCAUCAUCUGUACAUUGUUCUCCUGUGUCACUUCCCCAGUGCCUCAACAUAAUGUUAGAAUUAUUUCCCUCGGGACAAAAGAUGAUCAUUAAAGGCUCAACUAAUGUUUCCUGCUACCUAUUGAUUCUUGGAAUCCAUUAACAUGUUUAUUGGACAUUUAAUUUGCCACCCAAAACUCCAACCAUUGAUUGAAUCCAAGGAAACGGCUGACCUUUUAAAACUCAUCCUCUGCUCCUCUCAGAACCAAAUUAACAUGCUAUUACUCAUCUCCAAAGCCAUCUUGCCGACACAACAAAAACUGUGUUAGCCCUUUUUAGUGUCUGGUUAUUGAAGAGAAAAAAAGAAAAAGGAAAAAUACCAACAGAGGACAGAAUACAUGUUAAACAUAGAGUCAAUUAAAACAAUGACCCCAUCCUGGGCCACUCUUUGGUUUUAAACCAUGGAGAAAUAGCAUGAACUGGAUUUGGUUUGCUUGUUUUGGGAUAGGAUCUAAAGUCUCAAGUUAUGCCAGGAUAACCUUAAGUCACUGUGAGGCUGAGUCUGAACUCUUGAUCCUCCUGCCUCUACCUUCCCAGUGCUAGGAUUACAAGUGCGCGCUCUCCCCAAUCCCACACACUUGUAAAUGAUUUAUACUGUGCUGUAGAUCAAAUCCUGGGCUUCGUGCAUAUCAAGCAAGGGCUGUACCGAAUGACCCAAAUCACUAGCCUCAUCAGCCAGAUUUUUUUUCCUAGAAAAGGUCAAGUGGGUAAAACUACCCACAAUUGUAGUAACGGACCUAGUGGCCCAUCAGGAAGGGGAUUCUUAGGUUCAAGAUUUUAACUUAAGAAGAUGACACUCGAAAGACUGGAGAUUUUUCCCCAACUGAAGUGAGGUACCAGUUGCUACUGUACAUAGCAAGUGAUGUGCAGGUGACUCGGACCCAGCUAAGAUAGUAGUUCUCAAUCUGUGGGUCGAGACCCCCUUUGGGAACAUCAAAUGACUUUUUCAUGGAGUUGCCUAAGACCAUUGGGAAACACAACUAUUCAUAACCGUAAGAACACUUGCAAUUAUGAAGUAGCAACAAAAAUAAUUUUAUGGUGGGAUGGUCACUACAGGGUGAGGAGCUAUAUUAAAGGGUUGCAGCAUUGGGAAGGUUGAGAACUUACGAAAUCUGGCCGUCUGUACAGAUACGUCAUACCUAGACAGCCUACCUCUAGGGAAUUGGUUGCUGUUGUUGUUGUUGGCUUGGAGAUGGAAUGGUUAACUUCUCCAGCCCAGCACCUGCUUUCUCAUCCAUGUGAUGCCUGCAUUCUUAGGUCAUGGCUGGAUGCUUGGCUACCCAGACAAGUACACCCGUUCUCGAUGACCGUGGCCUUCCCUCUCCUGGAGCUGCUGGAGGGUGACAGUUGGCGUACUGCUGUGUUUUUCGGUUCUUUACACUAAGUUAUACUUCCUGUCUGGGGGAACCAAAAUGCUAGGCAUUGAUUACCUGCAGUUUGAUUAUCAACUUAGCCAAGGCGGAUCUGAGUGGAGCCCAGGUACUCCUUGCAUUUUUAAAUGUGUGCUCUCUAAGCCCAAGGCUGGGAGACAGACAUUCAAGGUCUCUGCUGCACUGGUAGGCUCUAGCUUUUCCUGGGCUAAGCUCACAUAUAAAAUGAAAACCAACAUUGGCUCAUGUGUUUUCUUCCUUACCAUUGCUCUCUUCUUUAUCCUGAGGAAGUAACGAGUCUCCCCUCAGAUAGAGUUUACCUUUCUACACUAUACAUUGUCCCAGGCAACUGAGAGAAAGGGGUAGCCUUUCUAAUAAGACCCGAUGAACUCUGUGACCAGGAAGCCUUGGGUGGGUGUGUUGGCCAUUAUUCAUUUAUUUGUUUGUCUGUAUUAUUAAACAGGGUCUUUUUAUAUAGUCAUGUCUGUCCUAGAAGCCACUAUGUAGGCAGACCUGACUUCAAAUUCACAGAGACAUAUCUCCUUCCAAAGUCCUAGAAUUAAAGGCCUCGAGUAGCCCUUUAUUAAACAUUGAAGAAGACCACACAACAAACUCACAAGUUUUAACUGUUCUUGUUGGGUCUUCAAAAAUUCUGACACAGGGUAUGCUCAGCCCUGUGUGUGAAGUCUCUCUUCACAGACACAGAGAGUGAAAUCCAACACAACAACUUCUCCAGCUAAAUCCACCAGCUCUCUUUGGCCCACUAAAUCCGAUCUGGUAUUUCGUAGCCAAUUAUCUCUGGAAUUUUACCCUAACUUUGCUCAUUCUGGGCUUUUGAGAUUUUGCUUUUAGUUGUUUGUUUGUUUGUUUGUUUUUUAAAAUUGAUUCACAAAUCUCAAACACUGAACCCACUGUCCUGAAAGCAACAGCACACGGACGGGUGAGCCACCAGGGUUGCAUGAAGCUGAGGAGAACAACAGAAACCAUCUUGCAAACCCACAUUCCCUGUUUCCCUUUGUUUUCCCUCUCUGCGCUCUAAACUCUACAUUUCGGCAUUUCUGCUUUGCCUCUGGUUUUUGGAGCUUUCAUACUGAGCAUUUCUUGUGGAAAAAAAAAAAAGGAAAUCUAGCAAUUAGCAUACAUUAUGUGGCUGUACCCAUCUGGCAGACUCACAGAAAUGUCUGCAUGGCAGAGCGGAGGCCCUGUUUUGUCUUGUUUCCUGGCCUGCCCCGCCCAGCUCGCAGCCUGGCAUUUGCCAACUGGAGAUGCCCACCCCUUCUCUUCCUCUGCUUUUUCAGUUCUCCAGCCAGCCACUACAAGGCCUUCCUUGCUAAGUACUUAAUGAGGUUUUAAUUCGGGUUUGGGUCUGGAACAGGGCCAGCUACUGAUGGCGGUGGCUCCGUUUUCCCUUUACACAUCAUCUGAGAAUAGUCAUGAAGACAAGUUGGGUUUCCGUUGGCCUCCUGGGGGAGGGGUGGAGCUUCUGGGGGGAGGACUCCCUGUGCCUUACGCUAUCGUCAGGCCUUGUUGCCUUUAGAUGAUAAAAACUGAAGGAGUACAUGAGGGAAAGGAUGUUAGGUGUUUCAUGAGGGAGGCAACUGCUUCAAACUUUCUACAGCUCUGGGUAUCAGCACAUCCAGGUCCAGUUUGAAGAGAGAGAAGAACAGUGCAUGUGGUAUGCUUUGGGUCAAAACUCAUAUGCAGUUUUAUAGACACAUGCCUGUCAUAUAGCAAAGUUCUGGAAUAUUCUUCUUGCCCAUAAUUAUCAGAGCUGUAGAGGGGUCUGAGUGCUUCUCUUAUCUCCCUAGACUCUGAGAAGCUCGGUGAGGUUUAAUGUGCUGAGAUAUAACUUUCCAUGGUAUAGCGUUUCUUACACUUGCUCACCCACGGUUAGGGUGUUAUAGUCUAGAAUUUCGGAGCCUGGAACUGCAGUCAGAAAAGCCUAAUUUUAAGUUCCCUUUGCCAGCUGUGUGAACCUUGGAACACGUGAUCCUGAGGGAAGUGAACUAGUGACCACGAGAAUGGCUAUUUCGAAUAGCUGGUAAAACAUCCAAGUUAUGGAAAAGAUUCUCAAAAUCAUGAUUUCUUCUGCCCAGGUCCACUGGUGCCUGGUUUAAAAAAACCCUCUCUCUAUGGGACUUCUUGGCACGAUUUGUUCCCUCUUCUUCUAGCAUGCUCUGUUGGCAGCAUGCAUCAUGCAAGUGAGUACAAGGGUUUUUGGAAGACAGAGCUACUGGAUCACCCUGAAGCCAGAGUUACAACCAAACUCAGGUCACCUUCGAGAGCAACGUGUGCCCUCAGCCACUGAGCCAUCUCUCCAGCCUCCAGAGGUCUCCAUCAUUUUUUCGCUCAUUUCUUGUCAAGAAUGAGGACUGACUUGGGCAAGAGAGUUGGCGCCCAGCAAAGAGCCAAGGUGGCAGUAUCACCAAGAAAUAGUCCCCACCCAGCUCAUGACCAGUGCCCUGCCCAACUGCAAAAAGAGACCCAGAGCAACAGGAAAACUAGUGUCAUUCAAGAUGUCCCAAAGAUUCUACUCACAAUGGCCACCCCCAACACAUGCUCUGAAUUUCAAACAACAGAUGAGGACACUCUUGUCGUCACCCACCUUUGCUUAUCACUGCCUUUCACACGAAUUGUGAAAUACCUCCUACCUUAUCUUCUUGUCUCCAGGUAGCCAAACCAGUCUACAAACUCCACCAAGGGAUCUUCCUAUAAAUGAAUUAACUCGUUCAACUUUGCAACCAGACCCCCUAAGUUCACAUUUAAGCUCUAGGGACCCGUGGAAAUAGCUCAGUGAGUAGGAGUGUUGGCCGUGCAAGCUGGAAUGCUGAGUUCAACUCACAGGUACCUAAGUCAAAGGCUGGGUAUGCUUGUGAGUGCCUCCAACUCCAGCUCUCAGUGGGGUGGGCACAGAGGACUGCAGGCCCACCACCAGUCUAGCUCCAAGUUCAGUGAGAGACCUUGCUUGGGACAAUUGUAAGACAAAAGUAAGAAAGAGUUCUCCAUAGUGAAAGAAGAAAAGACCUCAGGCUAAGAGAAAACCAGGGAAGAUGGGGAGUCAAAAUAAAAAAUACAUAAAAUAAAAAACACAAGGGAAGGAGUACAGGUGGAUGUGAGAGGAAGUGAUGCGAGAGGAAGUGAACAACCGGGUGGGAGGCUUCCUUGUAUUUCCUGUUGGCUGUGACAUUCAACCCACCAGAUACUGAUUCAAUGCUGGGGAGUAGGGGCCAGCAGAAAACACAAGAUGGCCACCACCUUCUGGUGCAUACACACUCUGGAGGGAACAUGAAACUCUUAAGGUUAGCAGAGAACCACCAUGGGAGGAGGACUUGGGAAAGCUUUCUGAGUAAGAUGGCAUUUAGGAACGGCUUAACGGAUUGAGGUAAAGGUAAGCAGGAGGCAAGCAGUAAAGUAGGAAGCAUCCUUCAGGUUGAGUUAGGCAGUUCAAACAGAAUCCCUGCAGCCUAUCACUCAAGCAAUGGGGAUCUGGAUGGACAGAUUCUGUUUUAUAGUCUGUAAGCAUAAUGUUUUGUUACCUUUAUUCAACCUCUGAUUUCUCUGCCCUCACAUCUUGUUUCAAUCUGGACACACGGCAUUGUGAAUCUCCUGUCUCAAGCUUGUGUAAACAAUUCUUAUCAUUUAUUAUCUGCCUUAUCAAUAAAUGUGGAUCACCAAAUAUCUGGGCAGAAGAGAAAAUAGAACCAGGCUUCCGCCAGCAAGGGAGAAGAGGGAAGGACAGAGUUUCAGAUCACCAGGAAGAGAGGGUCUGAGAUCAAUAAUAAUACCAAGUGUUGUUGGCUCAUGGCUGGGAAGUAGCCAGAUUAGCAUAUGGGGCUAUUAUAGAUCGUUUAACUGCCCAGUAUUGAGGUACAGCUUGAAAUAAAUCUUGGCUUUUCUGUGUGGUUAUUGGGGACUAGCGAAAGUAAAGAAAUACAGCUGCUGGAUUAAUCUAUUACUUAUAUUAAAAAUGAUUCCGUUUACGACAAAGACACUAAGGUUCAGAAAGGCUGUCUGGUAGCCUACUGUAAGGUAAUGGCAGACUCAAGUCAGGUGUAUGUAUCCAGACCCCCAUGGUGUCCCGCACAGCCACUGCAGAGGCUAAGGUCACUUCUACAUGACCUGUAAACUUUUACCUUCUGUGAUGGGACACCUCCCUCCUACCCCUGCCUUCUAUCACACAGUAAUGGGAGCAUUCAAUUAGUGACAGCACCUCAAACAGCAUGGCAGCAUGAAAGAUGUCUUUGAUUCUUAAUCUAGAUGUUUCUCCAAUUCCUCCCUGGAGGCCACAGCUGGGCUGCAAGAGAAGUUCAAAUUCAACUCUUAGGUUACUGGUUUGGGUCGAGACGGCAAAAACAUGGGCUCUCAUCCACUUGGCUAAAGCUGUUGGCUUUAGAGCUGGCCACUUAUCCGGCCUUUCUUUUGGACAAGGAACAGCUAGAAAACAUAAUAGCCUACUUUCUAAACUAUUGCAAGGGGCUGAAGAAAUGGCUCAGCAGCUAAGUGCUCUAACUGCUCUUAUGGGGGAACAGAGUUUGGUUCCCAGCAUCCACGUCUGGCAACUCACAACCGUCUGUAACCGCAGUUCCUGAGGGUCCAACACCCUCUCCUGGCCUCCGAGGGUCCUAAACAUUCUUGUGGUACACAGGCAUAGACACAGGCACAACACUGUUUUAUAUAUAUAUAUAUACAUAUAUAUAUAUAUAUAUAUAUAUGUGUGUGUGUGUGUAUAUAUAUAUUAAGCCUUUUAAAGGAGAUCUUAAUGAGCAACUCUUAGUAUCUUCCCAUGAUGCUCUACACUUUGGUUCUAGUUUUCAGGGAUUCACACCAGAUGGAAGGAAGUCUCAUAACACACAAGCUAGGCGAUAAUCUCCCCUCAGCAGUGUUCGCUGUGCCAUGAUUAACAUCCUACCUAUGUGCAUUCAUAGUACACAAAGGCCCUAAGUGCAAAGGGAAGGGAUUUUUAAUGGUGCCGAGUUCAUAUUUUUACCCAAGUCAGAUCACUCACCCUGCAAGCAAGCAGGAAAUACCCGAGGAUUGCAGAGGUGAGAGGACUGACGAUGUGAGGGAGCAAAAAUCCCAUAAACAAAGUUAUCUUUCCUUAGAAAUACUUCAAAGUCACACCCUAGGGUGAUGUGGUGAUGUGUGUGGCUGCAGGGAACAGGCGGCAAGGUAUUUAUUUACGAAGAGCAUUUCUGGCUUGUUUGCUUUUGGUUUGGGGUUAAGAUUGCUUUCCAGCAUGUCUUUCUCUUAAACUCACUUUUUGUUAAUUUCUCCUCUGAAGAGCCAGAGAGACGGGGAGAAAAAGAAAAGGGUCACCCAACAGUCUCAGAGAUUUUUCGAGUUAGUUCUUUGGAAAGUAGCUCUGAGAGGAUGUUUAAAAAAAAAAUAAAAAGAAAGGUCUUUAAAUUGUCACAUUAACAAUGAUUUUCACAGGGAAAAAUGGCUGCCACUAACUUAGUUGUCCUUCUCCACACAGCUUGGCUAGGUGGCCUUCAGCAUUCCUGAUCCCAGGUUAUUAGUCCUCCAGUGCCAGACUCGGUGCCUCAGAGACCACGGCAAGCUCUCCACACUGCCUCAGUCCAGAGCCCUCUGCUUGAGAGCACCAGCUUGUCUCGAGGCUCCAAGUGCCAUCUCGAUUCUGACUUUUUCCAACAUCUCCUCCCCCAUUCUCUCACACUGUUAACAGGAUCAGUGUGAGCUGAGGAUAGAAAAGGGAGGGCUUAGAGGUAAGGACAUCACACGCCUCCUCCCUGUCCUCGUAUCUGUUCUGUCUGCUGUAGGUAGGUCGUAUUUCUAAGGGCCACGACAGCUGCCGUUUCCUGACAGGUGAUUAUUCUCUCCAUAUUGUAACAUCAGUUCUAACCUUCCACUGGGGCGGCAUUCACGCCCCACUUCAUUGUAUGGAUGGAGGAAGUGAAGUCCAGGGAAAUUGAUUGGUAAGCCUGCCAUAGAAGACUGCCUUUCCUUGUGGCACAUGGAGUACCACUGGGCUAAAUGCUUUGGCUGACCCAGGGUUGGCUCUUCUCUGUCGCCUGACCUUGGGUUCUAAAAUAAGGAGUCUCAACACUUUAGGGAAAGCUGCAGGGUCCCCUAUCAGGUCACUGUGUUGCUCAUGCCCAAGGGCAUCUCUCAACGGUUGUAUAAUAUAAACAGUGUUUAGUAGUAAAACCAAGGGGAACUGUGCUCCUGGUUUUCUGACUUAAAAAAAAAA
rnacentral:sRNA from 1 species